GACGAACGCUGGCGGUGUGCUUAACACAUGCAAGUCGAACGGAAAGGCCCUGCUUUUGUGGGGUGCUCGAGUGGCGAACGGGUGAGUAACACGUGAGUAACCUGCCCUUGACUUUGGGAUAACUUCAGGAAACUGGGGCUAAUACCGGAUAGGAGCUCCUGCUGCAUGGUGGGGGUUGGAAAGUUUCGGCGGUUGGGGAUGGACUCGCGGCUUAUCAGCUUGCUGGUGGGGUAGUGGCUUACCAAGGCUUUGACGGGUAGCCGGCCUGAGAGGGUGACCGGCCACAUUGGGACUGAGAUACGGCCCAGACUCCUACGGGAGGCAGCAGUGGGGAAUAUUGCACAAUGGGCGGAAGCCUGAUGCAGCAACGCCGCGUGCGGGAUGACGGCCUUCGGGUUGUAAACCGCUUUCGCCUGUGACGAAGCGUGAGUGACGGUAAUGGGUAAAGAAGCACCGGCUAACUACGUG
rnacentral:rRNA from 1 species